rnacentral:rRNA from 1 species
CCUACGGGUGGCAGCAGUGGGGGAUAUUGCACAAUGGGGGGAACCCUGAUGCAGCGACGCCGCGUGGGUGAAGAAGCGCCUCGGCGCGUAAAGCCCUGUCAGCAGGGAAGCAAAUGACGGUACCUGAAGAAGAAGCCCCGGACAACUACGUGCCAGCAGCGGCGGUAAUACGUAGGGGGCAAGCGUUAUCCGGAUGUCACGGGUGUAAAGGGGGCGCAGUCGGCGAUGCAAGCCAGGAGUGAAAGCCCGGGGCCCAACCCCGGGCGUGCGCUUGAAACUGCGUGGCUGGAGUGCAGGAGGGGCAGGCGGAAUUCCUGGUGUAGCGGUGAAAUGCGUAGAUAUCAGGAGGAACACCGGUGGCGAAGGCGGCCUGCUGGACUGCAACUGACGUUGAGGCCCGAAAGCGUGGGGAGCAAACAGGAUUAGAUACCCUGGUAGUC